rnacentral:lncRNA from 1 species
CAUCUGUCCACCUCGGUGCUCAAGACCCGAGCGCAAUGUCCCAGACCCAGGACUAUGAAUGUAGAAGCCAUCAUGUUGACGGGCAGGAGUCCAGGAUCCCAGGAUCCAGCACCAGGUAAGGAAGCGCUGUGUACACCUGAGCAUUCCUGGCCUCAGGUGAGUGGGAAGGAAGGGUUCUUGGGGAGGUGGGUGCAGGACUCCAGGGGGGUCAUGCUCAUUCUCCGGGUCCUGAGCACCUGCACAGCUCCUCACAAGGCUUUGCCAUGGCUGACCUGUGCCUGCCUGUGGGAGUCCUGCUUUAUCCACCACAGCCUCUCACUGCUGCCUUGUCCACUACAGAGGCCACAUGCCCCACGUGGGAGCCCCUGUGCUCAGCAUGGUUCCCCAGGCCUUUCUGUAGGCAUUGGUCCACAUAGACGCAAUAGCCUUAGUACAUUAUUUUCAUUUUCCUAAUUUUCAGCUUUUUAUUAGGAAAUAUUGCACGCUUACCGAAAAGUUACAAGAAUAAGAACAAUCUGGGGAACACUCAUGUGCCCUGGCCCCACAUCACCUGCUCUUAGUAUUAAUUGCUCAAUCCCUUUUUCUGAGUCAUUCUGGAGCAGGUCCAUUUCUUAGGCCCCUGGCCCUUGAGUGUGUGUCCCCUAGAUAACCUGCCCUUGAGCCAGGACCCUUGCCAGGAUGAGCAGAUGUGCUGUUGACACACGGUCUGAUUUCCCCUGCUGUCAGCCCUGUGCCAGCCGAUUCUCUCUGUCCGUGGCAGCACUCCCUGACCCUGUGCAGUGCAGGGUUCCUUGAUGGAUUUUCUUCUGGCUUCUGUGUCUUUAGACUUUUCUGACCUGCAUGAUUUCUACAGCCUCUCCCUGUCUUUUGUGACCCAAACCCUUUUAAACAUGAUUGUCAUCCAUUCUUAAAUAGAACAUUCAAUAAGAGAGGUAGGGUUACAAAUUAAUCUAUAAGGUAUACUCAGCAGGACCUCAUUUACCUACUUGGUUUCUGUUUGUAAGAACUGUUGGUGAGGCUAGGGUUGUAGCUCAGUGGUUGCACUCACCUAGCAUGUGCGAGGCCCUGGGUUCAAUCUUCAGCACCAUAUAAAAGUAAGUAAAUAAAAUAAAGUCAUUGUGUCCAACUAUACUUACAAAAUGAUAAAUAUUAAAAAAAAAAAAAAAAAAAAAAAAGAAGAAGAAGAAAAAGAAGAGCUACUGUUGGUGUGGUUUCCAACUUUCCCCUCAUUCCUAUACAAAUGCAGUCCCAGCAUUUGUCUAAGAGAGGCUGAGGUAGGAGGAUCACAAGUUCAAGGCCAGCUUCAGCGAGUUAGCAAGACCCUGUCUCAAUAAAAAAAUAAAAAGUGGUAUGGAUGUCAGUGGAUAAGCGCUUCUGGGUUCAAUCCAAUCCCAAGUACCAAAAAAAAAAAAAAAAAAAAAGUCUCUGUGCUCCCCACGCAGUCCCUAGCAACUUCCUGUAAGUCAUUGCCUCUCACCAUCACAACUGUCCUCCAUUACUGCAGCUUCCCAGGCCAGUGUUGUGUGUUUCCCAGAAUCUGUUCCGCUGGGCCUGUGCAGUCACAUGCGCUGCUGCAGAAGCAGCCUGUUCCUGUGUAGCAUUGCUCCUUUUGGAGAUGGAUCUUCUGGUGAACUUCUGACGAGGAACACCUGUGAAGUAUGGUGCUGCCACGGCCCACAUAGGGCCUGUGCACUGCACCUGCCAGUCCACCAUGCCUCCCACAGGCAGCUCUGCUGGGGCCUCUGCUGGUAGCAUCUCAUGACUGACGAGGCCGGCAGAGAGGUACUGUGUAUCACGCUUCACCCUGUGCCAUACUCUUUUUCUCCUUUUCCUGUGGAGUUUUUAUUUGUCUGUGCUCUGUUCUGUAUACCAAGGAUUUGAGCCCUUUAUAAUUCAUAUUACAUAUGCCCCACUAAUUUGUCCAAAAAGCAGAAUCUUUUCUGCUUUACUCAUGGCAUUUUUUUCUUGUGUAGUUCUUAUGCAGCUGAACGGGCCAGAUUCAUCUUCCAGCGUGUCUGGAGUUUUAGUCCCCUCCAUCCCGACAUUGGGUUACGGUAUGUUUGGUGGUGGUGCUGGCAGUUCUGUUUGGGGGGGGUGGUCCUGGGGUUGAACCUAGGGCCCUGUGGUCCAAGGAGGCAUGUACUCCACACUGAGCUGCCCUGACCCCAGAGUUCCAUUUUUGCCCUUAUGUCUUAGAUCCAUUUGGGUUUAACCUUGAGUGAGGUGUGGACCCGGCUCUUUGUUUUCCAAACUGCUGCAGCUAUCCCAGCAUCAUGAUUAAAGACUGCCUUUCCUUGACCUGAGACCUCCACAUCCUCUGACCACUUCCUGGGUGUCUUUGAGGAGCUGGGGCUGCUUAAGCUCCUGUGUGACUCUGUUGACCUCUGUCAUGUGCAGGCUUCACUACCUGAUGGAGGCAGUUCCCGAUAGCACAGUGGGGUCUGGCACAGUUCCUCAGUGAGCUGGUCUUCCUGUGUAGUGCCCCACAUUCCCCUUAUGCUGCAGAGGGCCAGGCAGGUCAGCAGUGGCUGAUGGUGUUUUGGCUAUUUUUCCUUUUGUGUGUUUGUGCUGGGGAUGGAACUGAGAGCGUCACACACACUAAGCCUGCCUUCUAUCACAGAGCCACACCCACCCCCAAGCGUGGUGUGUCUCUUUAUCAUUGUAUUGCAAAAGUUCUUCUUUGUUGUGUUGUUUGUUUAUUUUGGUACUGGUGCUCAAACCCAGGAGAGCUCUACUACUGAGCCACAUCCCUAGCUCUUUUGAUUUUUUUUCAUUUCAGGGCCUCACUGAUUUGCUGAGGCUGGUCUUGAAUUUGCAAUCCUCCUCAGCCUCCUGAGUUGCUGGGACUACAGGUGUGCACCACCAGGCCUGGCUGCACAUGUGAUUUCAAUGCUUUGGAUCUGAGUCCUUGUCACAGAUACCGUCUGUAGCGCGUGUGCACUCCUGGUGCAUGGCUGUAUUCAUGUGGUGGUGGUGGUGGUCUGUGCUGGAGGCUCAUCUCUGUUGAGUUCAGUACCUCUGCUGCUUCUCUUGCUGCUCAUGUUUUGGGUGUCGUCGUCUAAUCCAGUACCAGCCCCAAGGUCAUGAAAAUGUACCCUCUUGUAAGCUUUAUGAUUUUAGCUAUUCUGUUGCAUCCUUGACCCAGUCUUCACUCUUUUGUGUGUGGCCUAAAGUGGGGUUACCUUCGCUUUCCUGCAGGGGUGUCUGCCUGUCCCAGCACUGUUGCUGAGACUCUCCUUUCCCCUGUCAAGGGGUCUUGACACUGCAUUGUUGGAGUCUGGGGAGCAGGGAAUGUGCCUGUCUCACCUGGUAAAUUUUGCCUGAUAUGUAUUUGGCGUUCACUGAAGUCAUUCUGGAAACAUUUGUCUAGACAGAUCAUUGUCUGAAAGUAGACAUCUCCAGAACAGGAGCAUUGUGAAGGGUCCUUUUGCAUCAGCACCCAAGGGAUUGCUGGAGAGGACCUGUUUCCUGCUGUCCUGUAGGGGCCUUUGUUUCUGCUGUCCUGUAGGACCCAGGGAUUGCUGCUUCUCUUACCCUUCCACCUUCCUUACCAGAUGAUUUUUUCCCUGUGCAGUUCAUCAUAAAUAUUCUUCUCACCAAAUAAGUCUUCUCAAACACUGCUCAGAUUAGGGCAGCAGGAGACUACCAAACUUCAGCCAUUUCCCACUUACAGGGUCCAGUCCCCACUGGUGGUGAAGCCCCGAAACUCCUUGGGCAGUUCCACAGCUGCCAGUUACGCUCUCCUCACCUGCUUAGUUUGGCACAGUUUAUCUGUCACCACCUACUGACAAAGCUCUUUCUCUGUGCAGUCCCCUUGACCUGGGGGACUGGCAGCCCCCACUGACCCGAUGCUCAACUGGACCAGACUACAGCCCCAGGACAGGAUGCGUGUUCUUCAAUCCAUAGUGCUGAUACCCCCCUUGCCCAUGAGGAGAGAUGAGCAAUCCCAGACCACAACCUGCACAUGCCACAACCACCAGCUGUGUCCCGCCCUAUCCUUAAGGUCCAGCUCCAGCCAGAGUUCCUGGAGCCUCCCCAGACUUGGUACCCCUCUGAGUUCUGAAGUCCCUUGCCUUGGAUGUCUGUGGGUCCUGCCCAUACCUGUCUGGGCAGUGACUCCCUGGGGCCCAGUGUUCUCUACACUUUUGCCUGCCUCUGUUUUCUCAGGAUCCUGGCUGAAUGCCAUCCCCAGGAGAUACCAAGAAUGUGCCUUUGAAAAGCCGGCUCUUGCCACUUGUGCAAGGAAUGCACUAAAAAGGGAACAAAACCUGUUCUCUGUCAAGUCAUGGUUAGUGCAUUAUAUUCACGUUUUAAAGAAAAAUAAGAAUUGUUAUUGCUGCUUUUAAGACUCAGAAUGUCAGUAGUGUGCUUUGAAAGCUUCUCUGUAUUCAGAUUCUCUGGGGAGUAUCCCAACUUUGUUCUGAUAAAAUCUACCACUGGCUAGGAGAGAAAGUGAGAGUAGCAGCCUCAAGGAGUGAAGUGGGACCAUGUGGGCAGCCCCUGCCAGCAUCCCAGGGCCAAGGGACACUGAGCCCAGGCAGUGGCAUUGAAUCUUAUCACAUUCACCCUUGAUCUGUCAUUGGUGUGCUCCCCAAGUUCUGGCCCCAGACCCUACACAGUGCUGCCAAAACCCUUGCCUCGCCUUCCCCGCCCCCUCCUCUGUCACCUUCUUUCCUGGAAAUGCUCCACCCAUCUAUCUGGAAGCUUCCGCCUUGCUCCCUUCAAACUAGCCAGGAGAACCUGGUCACCAAGUCUGGUCGGGCAGCAAGAACCUGGUCCUUCGAGUCUCUGCCGCAGGCACCCCAGCCUCCACCACGUCUGUCUUUACAUCACUGUCAGUGAAUCUGUCUUCUUGGAAGCCCCAGCAGACCUGCUGGGUGUUCUUUGGUCACAAUUGUCACUGCCCACCUGGGUCUGCGCUGACAGAGACAGGAUUCGACUAUCUUCCAGGAUGCAGCGUCUGCAGGGGAGGCUUGAGACCAUAUGCCUCUGGCCACAGCUGCAGCAGGGCUGUGGUCAUGGCAGCCCAUGGAUAUCCCUGGAAAUGAAGGGACCCCUUCAGUGUACCCUGAGACUCUACACAAUGAUCACUUCUGCCUCAGUCAUUGGCAGAAGUUGGCCUUAUGGUUGCUAGUGGACAGAAACUCAAAGACCUACAAAGGCAACUAAAGGCCACUCAAAUUACUGUGAUGGUCACAGGAGAUGGCCAAUCCCCAUGCACUUUUGGUUGCAUUAUUUAUUUAUUUUUGGUACCAGGGAUUGAAUUCAAAGGCAGUUGGUCACUGAGCCACAUCCCCAGCCCUAUUUUGUAUUUUAUUAGAGGCAGGGUCUCACUGAGUUGCUUAGUACCUCACUUGGUGGCAUCUUUUGCCAUUGACCUGUCUUCACAGCCAGGAAGCUCUCUCCCAGCCCACAUUGCUCUGCGUUCUGCAGUAUGGCCAGUGAGAAAGGCCCACAGUUGCCUCCCUGUGCAGCCAGGGGGCUGAAGGGUUAGCACUCAGUGUAUGGGUCAGGACCCUGGGAGUGGUGGCACUCAUGUUGGGUGAAUGUGCUGCAAAUUCAGUCAGCGGCCAGGUAACCAGAAGCAGGGGCCAGUCUCUAAGGCAAGAGUGACACAUGUGUGCCUUGCAUAUGUGGAGCUUCAGUGUGUUUUGGCUUCUGAGGGGUCAUGCUCCUCUGCCUGCCACGCAUCUCUCUCAGCCUCCCGAGUCUUUUGGAGGAGCGGGCUUGACAGCCCUACCCCUCAGGCAUCUGGAUGCACCUGGGUCCUUAAAUCUCCCUCAGAGGCAUCAGCAGGUCUGAGUUCAUCUUGGAUGUCUCCACCGUUGGCCACAGGGGAGGACACAGCUUUAGGACUGCAAAGCCACAGUCCCAGCCCUCACAUGAGCGUGUGCAUGCCAUCCUGGCCCUAUGCUCUGGCUGCUCCCAGGGUCCUCCCUGCCUCUGGUGCACAGGAGCCCUGUGGGCUGUCCUGGCUCCUGAGUUCCACCUGACCUGGGGCGGUACAGGUGCUUCAGGUGCCUGUCAGAAGAGGAGGGGUCUUCCUGGGAGGCUCCCACAGCCGUGCUCCUUGUCUCUGUCCCAACAGCAAGGGGACACAGCCCAUGUAGCCCCUACCCUAGGUACGAAAUGAGGCAGACUGUCCUCGAUGUGUAAUCUGCAGGAUGUAAAAUUAACAUUUUAAAGUAUGGACAUUGCUUGCUUUUUAAAAAUUAUCCUUUUAUUUGAAGAAUGUUAGGUUGAGUGGCAUUUGCCAAUGUAGUGCUAGGGGCAUUUUAAAAUUUUUAUCUCUUUUUAGUUGCAGAUGGACACAAUACCUUUAUUUUGUUUGUUUAUUUAUUUAUUUAUUUGUUUUUAAAUAUUUAUUUUUUAGUUAUAGGUGGACACAAUAUCUUUGUUUUUUAUUUUUUUAUUUUUAUGUGGUGUUGAGGAUUGAACCCAGUGCCUCACGCGUACUGGGCGAGUGCUCUACCUCUGAGCCACAACCCCAGCCCCUGUUUGUUUAUUUUUAUAUGGUGCUGAGGAUCAAACCCAAUGCCUCACACAUGCUUGGUUAGCACUCUACCACUGAUCCAUAACCCCAGCCCCGCCAGGGGCCUUUUGGCCCCCUGCACCAGCUCUGAUGGCUGUGACUUUGUGGGUGUGUGGCAGACUCCUAGCCCACACUGGUCUGUCGUCCUCAGCUGAAAUCUGCGCCUCUAUUCAGUAUUCCUUCCUAGUUCUCACCUAAAGUCCCUCCUGUCUUCAGAUCCCAUCUGGCAUGUGUUCACCGUGUCUCCUUGAUCUCCACUGGACUGAGAGGGUUCAUUAGGCCUUCCUGGGUUUUGUUUUUGUUUUAAUACUGUGGAUUGAACCCAGGAGCUCUCUACCACUGAGCUACACCCCCAGCCCUUUUUAUUUUUUUUCUUUUGACACAGAGUCCCACUAAGUUGCUGAGGCUAGCCUCCAACGUGAGAUCCUCUUGCUUCAGCUUCCCAAGUCGCUGGGAUUACGGGGUGGGCUACUGUGCCCGGGUAGACUUUCCCAGUGUUUCAUGACUUUGACAGUUUUGAGGAGGACUGUCCAGGUAUUUUGCAGAAUGUCCCUCCGUUUGAAUUUGUCUGAUGUUUUUCUUGGGGAGGAUGGCCCCACUGUGUCAAGAGCUCAGUUGUCAACAGGCUUGUCACCGUUGACACCAGUGUUGAUGUGCUGGUGAGGUUGUGCUGUCCGAGGUCCUCUGAAAGGCUCCUUCGCCUCUCUGUCAUGCUCCUCAGAGGAAGCCCACAACUCGGGUGGGGACUGUGUGUGGGCUCCCUGAGGGGAGGACGGGCCUCCCCUCCUCCUGCAAGUUACUGGGACUUCUCUGGGGAGUUGUCUGCCUCCAUCUGAACACUGACACUGAUCCAACUCUUGCAUCCCGUGAACUGUCCUGUGUCCUGGCUCUGAUCACUGGGGCUCCUGUGACCUGGGACGUACCCCUUCUUUGGGGUCAAGGCCCCUUUGUAUUCCCUGCCCCGGGCCUGGAAUUUGCCACUUCUCUGAGGAGCCCUGCCCUGGGUGAGAGAAACCUGGACUCUGGGCUGUGGUCCAGUCUCCUUGCUCAAGCCUCUGCUGCCUAAAGCCAUCUGUUCCCUUGACUGUGCCCCUCAGAGGCUUGCAGAGUUGAGUGUGCAUCCAAAAGCGCCUGGCAGAGCAGCCUGGUUUUCAUCUCAGUGAGGUGUGAGCAUUCCUAGGGGCUAACCUGCUCUUUGCUGAGAGUGGCAGUGGAUUCUCCUCAGGGGAUAUAGCUAGGCUUGGGUGUCGCCACCAACCUGAGUGCCAUCCUUGCUGGCUGGUGUUUUCACCCUGGAUGGGGUUCACCGGUGGGCUUCCAGGCACUUGUGCUCUGCCCCACCUGGCCUUGCAGCCACGCAGGCCUCCUGUGGCUCCUCCACCCCUGUCCACGCAGGCCCUCCUCUUGGCUGCUAGGGAAGGGUCAGGGCUGCCGAUGUGGGAAGGUGAGGUUUCUUCUUCUGUCCUAUGGUCAAUUUUGUGGACUGGUCCUGCCAGCUGGGACCUGCCACCAUCAUUGUCAGCUUUGUUUGCUCAUGAACCUCACAGGGAGCCCCACCUCAUGCCGUGCCCAGUUCCUCAGAUCGUGCAUUGUGGGCUGAUGUGCUGGGUAUGGGCGCCUGGAUGGCCCCUGCUUGUCCCAGGUGUUCUGCUGCUGUGAGCAUGAGUGCCAUGUCUGCGGGUUUCUGCCAGGGCUUCAGCUUAAGGAGCAGGGCCAUCUGUGCCUAUUCACCUUCACAUGGAGCACAGAGCCCCAGGUCUGUGCUGUGGGCAUUUGGGCCUCUUUGGUGGGGCCAUCCUUGUGUUUACAGUGCCCUUCUGUAUGAUUCUGCAUUUUCCUGAGUUCUCUCAUUCCCUGAUGGUGAUGAGUGCCUUCUACCAUAAUGUGCAUGCAGUAUUUGGUGCUACUUUGCUGUUUGGGGAAGUUGCUAAGUUGCUGGGGUUUUGUUAAGUUACCCAGGCUGGCCUUAAGCUUACAAUCCUGACCCAGCCUCCUGGGUCACUGGGAUUAGAAGCAUGUGCCAUUGCUCCAGUCCGCCUGGCUUUUGGUCAUCUUCACCUUCUGCAUGCUUGGCUAGGAUUUUUAUUGGAUUUCAAUCCUUAUAAAGGUGAGCAGAGGUGUCAGCCACUGUGGUCUUUCUAGGGGACCCUGUCAGGAAUGAUGUGUGCCAUCCUCGGGGUAGACUCUUUCCCUGGUUCUUUCCAUGGGUUUUAUCUGGGCCCCUUCCUGUGGCAGGCUCCGAGUCUUCCUCCAGCCUGCAGGUCAGUGCUGUGCUGGGCUUCUGGAGUGAGCUCAGUGUGAGGGAGUUUGUGUCACUGGGGCAUCCAUGGCAUCCGUGUCAAUGACAGUUUUGUGGCCACUACUCUCUGUUGAUGGAGCAAUGCUUGUGGCCUAGAAAACCCCUGCCCCUGUGCCCUAGGGUGAGGGUCCCCAUAGCCACAAGUCUGUAAGGAAAGCUCUGAGAUGACCCUGAGCUUGGUUAUUGAGGUGGGGCUGGGUUAUUGAGGUGGCGCUCUGAGUUUCUAGGGAGAGCUCCAUCUCCCAAGUUGUGGCUGAAAGACAUGCAUGGUGCCCUGCAGGGGGGCCAGGACCUUGGGGAGGCAGGGGUGGUUCGAGCAGUGGGCAGGGCCAGUGUGAGUUUUCAGCAGUGUGUGAGCCAUUAUGCAGGCUGGAGGGGUGGGAGGAAGGAAGACCCAUCGUGGUCACAUUUGGGUGCCAGGUUUGAUCUGGUCACAAUCUCAAGGGCAUGGCUGUGCUGUACGGUGCAGGCUUCAGGAAGAGGGGCACCCACCCACCCUUCUUCCGAACACACUGACUGUGGCCAUUUUUCUUUAUUUGUGUGAUACUUGGAUCUUUUUUCCUGGGUAAAGUGGGCUGUGUAGGGGCCCAAGAGAAUGCAGAUUUAAGACUUGAGGUGUGUCCUGGGAGAGGCACAGCCAGCAACGUCCUUGGGCUGGUGCCACUUGAAGCCCCAGCCUUCCCUCCACACAGUGCUAAGCUGCAGAGGGAAGAAGAGAAGGUGGGUCCCUUUUCCAGCUAUGGGAGGUCUCACAUUUGUGUUGCAAGAUGAGGGGAAGGUUUCCGGGGAGGAUCACUGGAACAGGUGGGCACAGGACCACACAGAGCAGCACAGCUGCAGUGUGACUUUAGAGGGAGUAGGAUCAUUCAGACUGGUUGUGUGGAGCCAGGUGCUGGGAUACCCAACCUCACCCUGGGUGCCAUGGCAUGCUGAGUGCUCCAUGGAGUUGUUCACUGGCUGUGGAUGCAGAGAAGGAAGGGAGCCAGGGAGCUGUGGUGCUGGCCAGAAGUGGUGAGAGUCUCUGCUGUGCUGUGAGUGGGGGUGGAGGUGUACAGAGAGGUGCAGAUUGAGGGACUAAACCACAGAACCAGGCAAGGCCCAGAGACAGACCGCCGGCACAGAGCAUCUGAGGCUGGAACAAGCACCAGCAGCUGGCCAGUGCCAAUGGAGUAUGCUGAUGCCUGUCAGUGCUCGCGCCCUAGACCUAGCCCACAAACGAGAGGGACCUGGGGAUGACCAGUGCUCCCUGCACCAGUCAGUAGGCUGAGGGAAGAUCCCACACAGGUACCCAAGGUUGUGAAUGGAAUUCAAGGACCAAUUCUAAGAUUCAUAAAGAGAGAAGUGUUAUGAAUAGCCAAGGGCUGGGUGUGAUGGUGACCCCUGUGAUCCCAGAGACUUGGGAGGAUAGGGCAGGAGGAUACAAAUUCAAGGCCAUCGAGGGCGAUUUAACGAGAUCCUUUCUUAACAUGAAAAGGGAUGGAGGAUUUAGCUCAGUGAUCAAGCACCCUGGGGUUCAAGCAGUACCACAGACAUAAUUUUUUUUAAAUAUUUUUUUNNNNNNNNNNNNNNNNNNNNNNNNNNNNNNNNNNNNNNNNNNNNNNNNNNNNNNNNNNNNNNNNNNNNNNNNNNNNNNNNNNNNNNNNNNNNNNNNNNNNNNNNNNNNNNNNNNNNNNNNNNNNNNNNNNNNNNNNNNNNNNNNNNNNNNNNNNNNNNNNNNNNNNNNNNNNNNNNNNNNNNNNNNNNNNNNNNNNNNNNNNNNNNNNNNNNNNNNNNNNNNNNNNNNNNNNNNNNNNNNNNNNNNNNNNNNNNNNNNNNNNNNNNNNNNNNNNNNNNNNNNNNNNNNNNNNNNNNNNNNNNNNNNNNNNNNNNNNNNNNNNNNNNNNNNNNNNNNNNNNNNNNNNNNNNNNNNNNNNNNNNNNNNNNNNNNNNNNNNNNNNNNNNNNNNNNNNNNNNNNNNNNNNNNNNNNNNNNNNNNNNNNNNNNNNNNNNNNNNNNNNNNNNNNNNNNNNNNNNNNNNNNNNNNNNNNNNNNNNNNNNNNNNNNNNNNNNNNNNNNNNNNNNNNNNNNNNNNNNNNNNNNNNNNNNNNNNNNNNNNNNNNNNNNNNNNNNNNNNNNNNNNNNNNNNNNNNNNNNNNNNNNNNNNNNNNNNNNNNNNNNNNNNNNNNNNNNNNNNNNNNNNNNNNNNNNNNNNNNNNNNNNNNNNAAGAGACAGCCUGGUGCCUUCCUCAGUAUCAAAACAAAACAGAUUCAGGGCUGCUGCCUGAGGCUUGGACAGGCAGCAGUGACAGCUAUGCACCUUUCUGCCCCCCAGUUAAGUUCUUUGCUUCUUCCCAUGUGGCAUCAGGGCUUAUAGGUGCAGGAUCCACCUGCAGCAGCAUUACUUCCCAGGAAGGCAGAUGCAAAUGCAGACAUUUGUCUGUUUUCUGAGCAGCCCUAUCCCUGGACUGGUUCCACAGUCAUUGGAGAAAGACCAUGGAUGUGAUGAAGGUCCCCUUACUCUGGGCCACCAUAGGGUCAGUGAGUGAGGGAUGAUGGAGGAACCAGCCAGGCAGAGGCAGUGUCCCCACAGAGAGGCAUUCCAAGGCUGUAGAGGGUUAUUCUUUCCAUGUAGAAACUUGGAAGCAGCUUAAAAAUGCCAGAUGUCACCCAAGCACACCCUGACUUCAAACACACCUGUUUUCAAAUGGUCUUGUCUGAUGCUUUAAUUUCCAUUAUUCACAGGUUAUCUUUUUAAUUAGAAAAAAACAUUAUAAGGCUGGAGGCUGAGCUCCCCAGUAGAAAGCCCCCACCCACCCCACCCCACUGUGUAGAAGUGGUGGUGUUCCUGCUCAGCGAAAGGUCACCUGGGACUGGUGGGCUUGGGAUGGCUUUGAGAGUGGGGUCCUCACUCUCACCCGUGUCCCCACAGGCUGGAGUGGGUGGAGAUCAUCGAGCCACGUACCCGGGAGCGCAUGUAUGCCAACCUGGUUACCGGCGAGUGCGUGUGGGACCCUCCGGCCGGAGUACGCAUCAAACGCACCAGCGAGGACCAGUGGUGGGAGCUCUUUGACCCCAACACAUCGCGCUUCUACUACUACAGUGCCGCCUCGCAGCGCACUGUGUGGCACCGCCCGCAGAACUGCGACAUCAUCCCGCUGGCCAAGCUGCAGACGCUGAAGCAGAACACAGAGUCCCCUCGUGCCUCGGCUGAUAGCAGUCCUGGCCGUGGCAGCCGCGAUGGCAGCACUGGCUCCUCACUGGAGCCCGAGCUUGAAGCCACGGAGAGGGCACAGGAACUGCCCACAAGGGCAGGGAGGCCCGCAGCACUGGGGACCCCAAAGGAGGAGAGUGGCAGGUGAGGAGGGUCGGGGCUGGCCGGCGCUGGGUGGUCCCCCUGGGAGGGGGUGGCGUGGGGCCUGAAUGUGGCUGCCUGGCCGCAGCUCCUGCCUCCUGGCUCUCCACUUGUGAACGGUAAUGAGGGCUUGGGGUUUCUGGCGGGUGAGGGGAUGGCUGUGACCCAGCUGAUGCACAUUCUGGCUCCUUCCUCCCCAUUUUGCUCAGGACCUGCUCUUUGUUGACACUGUCCUUAGUCACCUGGAUUCCUAGAUCCAGGAGCUCAUUAGAGAAACAGAACCUGCUAGGCCCAGAAAUCCUGGUGAGCUGUCAGGAGGGCCCUCCAGUGGGUAUUUUCCUGGCUAAUAGAGUCAUGACUUUGGUACUUGACUUCUGUUUGUUGGAGGGUUGCCCUUCCUUGGCAUAGCCUGGGGACUGAUUCUCCUGAAUCCCCCAGGAGGGGGCUGCUGCUGUUAUUCUCAUUGUACAAGUGAAGAAACAGGUAGCUCAGGUGCAGGACCUUACUUGCAUUGUCAGGCAGAUUGAUCUGCAGUGGGAGCCUGUGGUCAGGGUCCCCCAGCUACAGAGGCCACCAGGUGUGUGUCUGCUUGGUCACAGACAUUUUUGUUUUAUGCCUCAUCGGGAGCAGUUUCUUGUGUUGUGCAUCCAGCCGCUGGCCUUUUCUUCUUCGGGGCUGACCCUCCGUCAGUCCCUUUCAGGUGUGAUGUUCAUGUAUAGAGUUUGGAUUUUGUUUUGCAUGUUCCAUGCCUCUGCACGAUGUGCUGGGUCUGCUUCUCACUCUGAACACAGGGAGCACAUGGAACCAGCUCUUGCUGCCCUUCACCGCGGACUCCCCUGUCCUUGUCAUUCUGGCUCAGCUUAUCCCUGGUUGGUUGUUGUGAGCAGGAACAGGGUCCCUGAGGGUAAACACAGCAGAUGAGAGGGUGAGCAGCCCCAGCAGGGCAUAUGGCAUCCUAAGGGAACAGCAGGGUGAUGAGACUGCUGUUCUUCAUAGACAGAGGUGCUGCCAGACUUGGACCUGGAUUGCACAUACACGAUUUUAAUUGAGCAUAUUUGUCACUUGGCAUUUACCAGAUCCUGUUAGAUUGUUCUCCUGGUGUGUGUCUUUUAUCAGGCAGUGCCUUGCAGGUUGGUCACACCUGACUGAAGGUUAGGCAGAAGCUCCUCAACUGCAGUCAAGUAGGUCUUGAAACAGAAGUUUCCGUUAUGCUUGCACAUGCAUCAGAGUCAGAAAGAUUCUGCUGGGACUAUAGCUUCAGCUUGGAAAACACCUGCUACACAUGCGUGUGGGAAUGGGUCAUGCCUCUGGUAAUGUUCACAGGGUGGUAUGUGGAUAAAGCAGCUCAACGUUGCUUGUGACUGAGACAUUAGUUGUCUUUGCAGUGACUGCUGUAGUGUGUUUCACAGGCUGUCACCAUUUGCCUUGUGAUUUUAGGCUGAAUUCAUUAAGAAACGUUACCAAGAGUCUGCAACAAAAACUAAUCUCCAAAGCCACUCACAGUGUUUAAUAGUGAUCAAAAGAAGUUUUUCACAUUCAGAAAAUUUGACUCAACCCUGAGUUUUUAAAAAAAAAAAUCAUAAUAAAAUAUGUGGCUCCCUGGCUGCUGGGUUGCUGUGUGACAGGAUGUUCAGCUGCUGUCUUUGACCAAAAUAUCCAUGGUACUUAUGAUGGCCAAGUCCAGGGGAUUGGCUUAUGAUGGAUUCAAGUGUUUUCUGCAAAGUACCUACGAAUGGACAGCAAGUAACCCUAGGCUUAUGUUAUCACAAGCUUUGUAAGUGGCCAGCCAAGCCUUUGCCUGGGCCACAUAUGCUCCCAGCACAAUAAUUUGUGACUCCACUUAAUCUCCAGGUGUGCCAAAUUAAUGUUUUCUCAGGUAAUUUUAAGACAGGACCUCCUGAAGUUUCCCAGGCUGGCCUCAAACUUGUGAUCAAUCCUCCUGCCUCAACCUCCCAUUGUCACUGGGACACCACCACACCUGACAUCCCCAGCCCUUUUUAUCUUUUUAUAUUUAUUUAUUUAUUUAUUUUCGUGCCAGGGAUCGAACUCUAGGGCACUCGACCACUGAACCACAUCCUCAGCCCUAUUUUAUAUUUUAUUCAGAGACAGGGUCUCACUGAGUUGCUUAGCGCCUCACUUUUGCUGAGGCUGGCUUUGAAUUUGUGAUCCUCCUGCCUCAGCCUCCCAAGCUGCUGGGAUUACAGGCGUGCGCCACCACAUCUGGCCCUUUUUAUUUUUUAUUGAAGACAGUGUUUUGCUAACUUGCCCAGGCUGGCCUUGAACUUGCGAUCCUGCUGCCUGUGCUGCCUGAUUGGUUGGUAUCAUAGGUGGCAUCAAGGGUUCUUUGAUUAUUUAAUUAUUAAUAUAUAUUAGUUUGAUCAUAUGCCUUAUGAAUAUCUGUCAAGAUAAAUGCUCACUCUGUCACCUGCUUCUUAGAUCUCUAUUGAGUGUGCCAAGCUUGGCACUCAGGCACACACAGCCCCAUGAGGGUCUUUCUAGCUACGCUUCUUCCUUAGGCCAUCCCAUCAGUACUGGUUGAAGCUGUGACUCUCACUGACCCAUCUCUGGAUCCUGAGAGCAGCAGCUCCCAUCCCAGUGGUUCAGGUUCCUGAAACACUAGACAAGGCUGGUUUCCUGUCCUGGCAUGUGGCCUUUGGAUGGGUCACCAUGGGCUGACCCUGUGGGAGGAGGCAGGUGCAGGGCAGAAGAAAUACCCAACAGCAUUAUGAGCAGAAGCCAGGCCAUGUCCUCCCUAGUCAGCUGAAGGGCACUUAGGUUCACAUCUUUUCCAUUCUCCUGUGUUUCAGUUCGUCACCACCAGGCGUAAUCCUCGAGAAGGACUAUGAGGUUUACCGGGAUUAUAGCACGGAUGGCCAGCUGCUUCACUACAGGUAGACCCCUCUACCUCCCCAUAUCCAUCCACUAUCCCGAGAUGGACUCUUGGGUGGGCUGGCCUGGGGCACCUGGAGCAGAGUCUGACUCAGCAGAAAGCCGGGGCAGUGCCCGCCCUAUGGUGGCUUUGGAGGCUGCCAAAAUGGCUUGGUAGCCCCGUCUGGGAAGACUCUUGUCGCUGCCCAGAACAGAUAGCUGUGGGUCCUGGGUGCGGCCUUUGUCCCCCAUUGGAAAAGUAAAGUAUGAAGGUCCCUGGCAUGUGGUUGACGCCUGGGUCACACUGGCUACUCGUGUCAGAGUGCUUUUCAAUCCUAGUCCGGAAGAUCCUGUUAGUCCUGCAGGGGAGUGGGCCUCGGCUCACUGUGCGGAGCUGGAGGACCCUGAGGGCCAGCCCUCUGCCCACUGGUCUUCCAUUGCCUCGUGACUGGUUGGCUGUAGGGUCUCAGGGCCAGGGUCAGUGAUGUCCCUGGAGUGACCUGGCAAUGGUGCUGCAGAGGGUCGAAGGCCUGAGAGCCUAGGCUCCUCCUCAGACAGUGGUCUCUCUCUCAGAUUCGUGUUUGUGGAACAUCAAGAAGGGCCUCGAGCUGCCCUGCCCAUACUGUGACCCAUGACUAUGGCAUGCUCUGUGCUCCUCAGGCUUCAUUCCCCGUCAUAAGAUGAGUCUAGCACUGUGACCCAGCACAUUCCUGGUGGCUGCUCAUCCUCACUGUGGUGAGAUUGAUUUUGGCUCUGGCACAGGCCUAAGCUUCCCCACGACCCCUGCAGCACUUUCCUGGACUGUAUGUAUGCUCUAUAUGGCCAUGUGCCCACCUGGCCUUUGGCUGAGCAUUGUCACAACCCUGCUAUCCCUGGGGAGCCAUUGUCCUUUAAAAGAGCCUGGCAGCAUCCCCAUUGUCACAGUAGGCACCUGCAGAGCCUUCAGUGAGGUGGGUCCCAAAUAGGACAAAGAAGACCCUCUGGGCCUUUCAGGUAUCACAGAGAUGGGUAGCUGUUCCAAUGUUCUCCCACUUGCCAAACCUCUCUGGCAGCUGAGCCGCCCUCAGCCCUAUGGGACCUCCUCUAGCCACAUGAGCUGAUGAGUCUGGUCUUUGCUCUGGGGCUCCUUGCCCCUAGCCCCUCAGCCCUCUGGUGGCCACUGUUCCUGUGCCUGUUGCUCGUCUUGGCAGCCCCCAGCCUCUCACCCUGCUAAUGAUGUUGCCUAUCAGAGACCCCACUCAGACCCCUGGUGUGGUCCACCUGCUGGCUGGACCAUCCAGCACAGGACAAGCAGUUGCAUUUGUAAGUAAAUAAAUAGUGAUUGGAGAAGUAGACCAUCCCCAGUGUUGACCUCUGGGUGAGGUACAUCUGAGACCCACUGGGCUUAGCUGCACAGAGGCAACCAGCAUGUCUGCCUAGGUGGGGCCUGCUCCUGAAACUCUUGAGAGUGCUCUGGCCCUCGGCCAGUGUGGUGCUGCAGCCUGGUGUCAUCUGUGACCUGCUGGGGGCAGUUCAAUGCCAGGCAGCUGAGCCAUCUCCUCCUGCCCCUUCUACCAUUACUGAGACCUUGGGACAGAGACCUGGCGAUAUCUGGAAGACGAAGCAGGUCCACGGGAGGGCUGCCAACAUGUGUGCCAGCAGAUGUUGUAUUCUAUCAGGGAGGUGGAGGGAGGAGGUCAGACCCCCUGCUGAGACGUUCAGGAUCCUUUCUGCUGAGAAUCUGUAUUCUGUGUAUCACCUGAGCAUCACCUGAGCAGACCUGGACUGGCACUCACAGAUCAUAGCCUGCUCAAAAGGGAGAUACACAUGCCCAUGCUGACCCCCCAGUUCACUUGUGCCACAUAGCAUGGGCAGAGCAAGGCUCCUUGGAGGUGACAGCAUCUCCCAGGUGGAGUGUGCCAUGAGGAGACCCAUCCACUCACCCACCUGCCCAGCACCCCGCACGAGGAGGCCUCAAUGCAGACACACUGGAGGCCGGGUGAGCUGCCUGGCUAUGCAGUCAGUCCUGUGUGCCCAUCUGGCCUUGAAGUCCCAGAGCUGGCACUUCUCUCCCAAGCUGUCCCCGGUGGUGCAGAUGGUGUGAUGGGAAGUGGGAUGGAAGGAAUCACAGUCAUAUGAACACAUUAUUGAGAGGAAGCCAGGGUGAUCCACGCUGAGAGAGGUGAAGCUAUGCCGCUGCUGAGCCUGGCGGGAGCAUUCUGGUAUUCCUGCGGCCUGGGACUGCCUGGGACAGCAGGCCUGACCCCAGCACUGAGGCUCAAGGAGUGCCACAUCCUGGCCGCAAGAGUCUUUGUUGGGCCAGGUGUUAGUCUUUGGGAUCCCCGUGCUGGGGCCAGCUGUGGGUUUCUUGGGGAGAACGAAAGUUCCAGAGACAGAGCCCUAUCAGAGCCAACUCAGGCCUGGGGUGGGGACAGUUUGGGGAGAAAGGAAUAGUAGACCUGAGAAAGAUCUAGAAGGUAAAGGAAUGUGGGGGAUCAUGUGAGGGAAUGAAGAUGUGUCCCAUGAGAGCCCCCAAUGGGAUGUGGGGGUGGGCACACUUGGAGCUCAGCCUCCAGAGAGACCUUAGAGCAGCCUGCAGUUGCCUUUGAAGUGAUGCACUUACCAGAGAGAGUAGGAAGAUCAGAAAUAGCACCAGCAACUGAGGAGGCUGAGGCAGGAGGAUCCCAAGUUCAAGGCCAGUCUCAGCAAUUUAGCGAGACCCUGUCUCAAAAGAAAAAAAAGGGCUGGGCUGUGGCUCAGUGGUAUGCCCUUGCCUUGCAUGUGGAAGGCCCUGGGUUCAGUCCCCAGUACAGGUGCCUCAUAUCAGAGGGACAGUACAGGGUCAGCUGGCAGGACUGAGGAGGAGGCACCCCUGAAGCACUAGCGACUCUGUGCGGAGGGGAGGCAAGAAGGGAACUGUCCAGGAGCAGGCUGUGCCACCUCAGAGGUUGUUCAGAGAUCAGGGCCCUCAGCAGGUCAAGGGCCGGGCAGCCCCCAGGUUGUGAGUGAAACCCCUGGCCACCAGCCCAGGCAAGAGGAGCCAACAGAGGUGGGAGCUGCGGAACGGAUGGCCAGAUGGUCACUUUCAGGGAUUGUUUCUCCGUAUGUCGUGCAAGCACAACUCUGUUUGGACUCAGGCUGCAGUUGCUGGCCUGCCCUUGUCCUGCCAGGCCUCUUGCCUCAGCAUGGUAGAGGGAGACAUUCCAGCUUUGGUUCUAGUUCUGGGGUUUGGCUUUGUGCAGGACCUCUCCAUUCUUCCUUUGAAAUAGCCUUUGGGGAAAUUGCCCUGCAGGGCCCGGAACAGAAUGAGUCCUUUGACCCUGGCUAGCCUCCCUUUUGGCAUUUCCAGAGGCGGUGGCUGUGCCAGGGUUUCCUGCUCCCUCACUGUCGAAACCAACCCGUGAGGCAGAGAUAGGGGUCUUUCUGCCCCUGUCUGCUCUCUGGUGCCUUCACCUGUCAGAGCUGUCAUUGGAACCAGGGAGCUGAGGAGAAGGAUGUGCCAGAUAUGGGGACAGUCUGGGUUUAGGAGGAGGGAAUGUGGGGGGAAGGCAGACGCACCCGAGAGGAAGCCUGACAGGACUGCAGGCAACAGAGCCAUCAGAGCCAGUGGCUCCUGGGACAGAGGCAGCAUCACAGUUGUCAGGGCCUGCAAACUACCAUGUGAGGCUAGGACUGUGGAGAGCAAAGUGGUGGAGUGGGCUGCAGAGGGGCCCAGCCCUUGUGGUGAGCUUGGAGCUGCCUAUACAGCAGAUGGGGAACCAGGAAGUGGGCAGGGUGAGAGAGCUCUCAGAUCAGAAGGUAUGCUGGACACCCAUGGGGUGGCCUUCACUUGGCUGCUGCUUCAUCUUAGGUGCACUUCCAAGAAAGGCUUCACUCUCUGAGCCAUGGUACCUGUGACCAGGCUCCCCCGAAGGCUUUGGCCUCCUCUGAGAACCAAACGAGACUUUGUGCAGGUGCCCAGGACACACGCAGCCUUGGGGGACCACCUGCGGCCACCUCCCUAGUUCUCUCCCACCUCUGCCCUGCCUGGACAGAACCAACUGCAGUGGCUGAAAUAGAGGGCAUUCCUGACCAGCAGGCUUUUCUGCCUCUCCUGACACUUGCUUCUGCCUCAGCAAACAGGAGCAGAAACUCCAGGAAUGGGGGCCUCCUCACCCAGGCCAUGAGGAGCAUGGCCUGCAGCAUGGCUAUUCUGAGUGGUCUCACACCUGUCACUCUGGAGUAGUCCCAGCCCCACAUCACCUGUCCCAGGGAAUGAGGCAUCAAGGCCUUGUCCAGAUUUGCCUCAUAUCAGAGGGACAGAACCUAGAGAUCAGACUCACAGCUGGGUCACAGAGAUGCUCUGGGCUUUUCUUUGCCGACCUCAGACCCACGUUCGCCCACUGACAGCUGGAGAAGCUAACAGAAUACACAGAACCACUCUGAAGUCCUCAGAGAUGUACUAAGUGGUGAGGUCUGGAGACUGCUCCUUCUCAAGCAGUCCCCAGGGCUGAGAAGCUAAGCAGACCCUUGGAGCUUCCUCUAGUUAACAUCCAACGAGUCCCUGCUUUUUCCUUGACUCCUCAAGGGCCUCAGAAAGAGGAGGAGGGUGAGCCAUGAGCAGGCUGCCCUCAGCAUGAGCCCAGCCCCAGUCAGCUGGGCCCCACCCUCCUCAAGGAGAUGCCCUCCUAACACCUGCCAGAAACUAAAGUAAGCCCAGAGCUCAGAUUGCCAUGAUGGCUUUUCAUGAACAACAACCAGAAUUUCAGUCUAAAAUACCAGAGUUGAUCAGAAACAGAAACAGAUCUACCUUUUGGGAUUACCCGAAAGUUACUUUAAUAAAUAUCCAAUGUGAAAGAUACUAAAUGGAAAUUUUUUUAUCUUUAUUUAUCUAUUCAUUUUUUUUAUAUGGUGCUGAGGAUCGAACCCAGCACCUCGAAUAUGCUAGGCAAGCGCUCUACCACUGAGCCCCAGCCCCCUAAAUGGAAAUUUAAAAGAUUCAAAUGUGUUUUCUAGAGCUGAAAAACAAAAACCAGGAACACAAUAGAUGGUGCUAAGGUGUAAAUGUGUGUCCCCUUGUUGAGAUGGGCAAAGUUGCCACUUAUGCAGUCGAGAGGGAGAAAUAAAGAAUGUCCAUGUGCUUCUGCCCUUUUCAAUGUUUUGUUCACUCAAAUCACUCAAUACAAUUUCACUCUAUAGGUUUUUAAUCAAGAAAAUGAUGGUCCUUGAUGCUGGGCACUGCAAUAUUCAUAAUCACUUAACAACAAAUAAUUCUAAGUUAACUCUAAGCACUGCAAACACACCUAAUCAUGACCUAGUUAUUACAGACAUUCCCUCUGCAUGCUAAACUCAAGUGCCAGGUCUAGAGUCUCACGUCUUAGGCUUUUAAGUCCAGCAGAUGCAGUCACUCAGACCGCAGUGAUCAGAUCAGGAACCGAUGGAGGCUCCUGGUGUGGAGUUGGUGGCCAGUUGAGGGGAGCGUAAUAGGGAGAUGUCACCAUUCUCACCAGAGCAAAAAGCUAUAGAGUUUGAGAGAGGUGAGGAAGAUGCAGGGGAUCAGGCAAACGAUGAGAAGAGUGGGGAUGUUAGCCCAGGUCCUCAUCAGGCUUUCCGGCAUGUGGGCAUCAGUGUCAGCUGGCUGAAUGUUCAUUUGCUCCAUCAUUUAUACUAAAUUUUGGGGCUCCUUUCGGUCCCUGUCAGCUGUUACCAAGUUUCUUAGUGACAUCUUACAUUUUAGAGUCAGGACAUAUGGUUUGGUGAUUUUCCACCCUGAUCUUCUUAUACCUCUGACUCUUAUCAAGGUGAAGGCAAAUGAUAUGUGACUUCACCCUGACUCUUACCAGGGUUGUGGAAAGUGACUUGUCUUUAUCAGGCUAUGCCUAAUUGACAUAUCGGAGGGAUCUGUAGGCUGUGCCUGGUGGGAUUGCAGGUCUGUUUUAAAAUAUAGUUGCUUAGGCUAAGGCCAUACUUACAGUCAGGCUAAGGCCACCCUUACACCCCCCCCCCGCCCAAAUUCCUUUGUUGAAUAGCUUGAGGAGAUGGGGUCUAUGGGCAUAAAUGAAGGAAUUCAUACUUGUGACAGAGGAGGGCACUGUCCUUAGGAGGCCCCAGUGGGUCACUGUGGCACCUGCCUAUAAUCCCAGUACUCAGGAGGCCGAGGCAGGAGAAUCAAAAGUCCAAAGCCUGCCUAGGCAAUUUAUUGAGACUAUCCCAAAAUAAAAAAUGAAAAGGGUCUCGCACACAUCCCGCAUGAGUGAGGGAAAGGGUUCCCCUCCAGAGGGAUGGGCUGACUGAGAAAUAAAAGCUAAGAAAACAGUAGUAUGAAAUAAACACAGGACACAGAAAUAUAGUUUCAGAGCGGGGGCAGCAACAGGCCAAGCUGAACAUAGGGUUACGGCUUCUAGCAGAGAUGGAGCCUGCAUUUGCUUUAUUUAUAGCAGUACAGAUCAAAGGGGAUUGGGAGGAGUCUUGUCUGGUGCUUGCUUCUUCACGAAAAACAAGACGUGGUGCGGGUAGGCAGGCUGUUUGGCUCUUAACCACAGUCGUGACCUUCUCCUGGGUUGUGUGCAACCUUUUGGCAGAGCUGGGUGGGAGUUCACAUGUAUCAGACCAUCUCACCCGCAGGAGCGCCAGUGCAAGUUCCCAGACACCCGACCUUCCCACUCAGUAGCUUCAGUGCUGAUGUAGUCCACGCACAUUUCACGGAUGGCUUCCUGCAAAAAGGACUGUACCUCAGUGGAGGAGUACCCCUGGAUUUAAUCCCCGAUACCAUCACCACAACAACAAAAAGUAAAAGGUCAAAGAGAGCUCGAACCUCCCCUGGGUGAGAACACACAGCCAGGCAUCACCUGUGAAACAGGGAGGAGUCCUUAUCAGAUACUGGAUCUGUCUGUGCCAUGACUGGGUACUUCCAGCUCCAGAACUAAGUAAAUAUCUUGUUUUUAAACCACUCAGUCCAUGGAAUUUUGUUAUAGCAGUAUGAAUGGAUCAAAACAAUGGAUUUUAAAUUAGAUUAAACAUAGCUGAGAGGAGAAUUAGUAAAUUGGAAGACAGAUCAGAAGAAAAUAUCAAUUCUGAAGUAUAGAGAAGCCCGGGAUGGGAAAUACAGAACCCAGCAUGAAAACCACAGGAUGCAGGGUGAAAAGGAUUGUAAUUGAAUUCCCAAACUAGAAGAAAUAUAAUAAACAUAAUAUUUGAAAAGAUAAUGGUCAGGAUUUUACCAAAACUCAUAGAAGAUGUUGAGCCACAGAUUUAAGAAGUGCUACCCCUAAGUAUCCUGGGGUAGAGAGUGUGAAGGAGGGACGUGUUCUGCCCCCCAUCAUCUCUCCCCAGCAGUGUCCUGGGUCUGGCCCCUAGCUACAGCUGGUACCACCAUGGAUUCAGGACCUGUGCCAACCUUGGGCUCACAGCAGGCAGAGCAUGCAAAGACAUCAAGUCCACCAGCAGUACAGCACUGGGGCAGAGAGCAAAUGAAGCUAAGAGACCAAAUGUCCAGCAUGAACCCGCUGGGGGAGGGGCCAGGAUGUAAGCAGUAUAACUCCCAGGAGGCUGUGGGUACCCUUGGCCUAAUGCAGGCAUUAGUGGGUAGGUGGGGUAAAGGGAGGAUUCAUAGGAGCCUCUGGUGAGAAAUGGGGUCUUGAGUUGCUGGCAUAGUGUGCUGGUCUCACCUGGGACACUGGUGAACACCCCUAUACCCCCACACACACACACACACACCAACUGUGUGCUCAGUUGAGUGGUCCCUGGGAAGGCCCCUUUCUUUCUCAUGAUAGCUGCAAAUCUGUGCCUGGUGUUGGGCGGGUGUAGAGCAAUAUGGGCAGGAGAGCUCCUGGGAAAGAGUGCCACAGGGUUCAUAGGGAGCACCGCCUUGAUCAGGGAGGAUGCUGUGGGACCACCAUGCCAAGUAGUGAGAUGGGGCUAGCCUUCUCCACUGCUUCCCUGCAGGACCUCCUCACUUCGGUGGAACUCAGGCACCAAGGAGCGCAUGCUCAUCAAGGUCGCUGACAGGGAGCCCAGCUUCCUCACUCCUCAGGGCAAUGGCUACUCUUCAGAUGGCCAGCCUGGGAGCCGCCCCCGCAGACCCUCUGGCAGCCAGCAUUCGCCCAACCUACAGACAUUCACCCAGGACUCGGAAGGCGCUGUCUUCUUCCCUGAGAGGCGACCUUCGCCCUUCCUGAGAAGGGCUGAACUCUCCGGGAGCUGCUCCCCACUGCUCACGCAGCCUCGAAAGUCCUCCAGUGACUCACAGCCCUCUUCCCCACGCUAUGGCUAUGAGCCCCCUCUCUAUGAGGAGCCCCCUAUGGAGUAUCAGGCCCCCAUCUAUGAUGAGCCCCCCAUGGACGUACAGUUCGAGGCUGGUGGCCCCUACCAGGCUGGCUCCCCACAGAGGUCGCCCAGCCGCAAGCCCCGCCCCUUCUUGCCCGGGGCCAAGCAGGCCCCUGCCUCCCCCUGCCAGCAGCUGGUGCGCACUAAACAGAAGUGCCCUGAGCGCUUCCUGAGCCUGGAGUACAGUCCUGCAGGCAAAGAGUAUGUAAGGCAGCUGGUGUACGUGGAGCAGGCCGGCUCUAGCCCCAAGCUGCAUGCAGGCCCCCGGCACAAAUAUGCUCCCAACCCUGGUGGUGGCUCCUACUCACUGCAGCCCAGCCCUUGCCUGCUGAGGGACCAACGCCUAGGGAUCAGGUCUGGAGACUACAGCACCAUGGAGGGACCCGAGCCCCGGCUGAGCCAACCACCCACACCACUGCCCCCAGCCCAGGAGGACACCAUGUCUUGGUCCAGCCAGCAGGACACCAUGUCUUCCACGGGCUACUCCCCAGGCACACGUAAGAGGAAGAGCAGAAAGCCCUCUCUGUGCCAAACUCCUGGCGCCCCCUCCACGGAUGGCCCAGGGGACCUACUGGGUGAGCAGCCUCUGGCUGAGGAGCGCUCUCCAUGUGGGCCCAGCCUUGCCCAGAUGAAGCGUGCAGAGGCUGAAGUGGACGUAGCACGGGGUAUGGCCGAGCCUUUCCUGGCACAGGCGCAGCUGGCCUGGGAGGCACAGCAGGCCCACUUUCACAUGAAGCAGAGGGGCAGCUGGGACUCCCAGCAGGAUGGCUCUGGCUACGAGAGUGAUGGUGCUGUGCCACUACCCAUGCCCGGACCUGUGGUACGUGCCUUCAGUGAGGAUGAGGCACUGGCGCAGCAGGAUAGCAAGCAUUGGAAGCGGAAUACUUUCGAGAAGCUCGGCUUCCCCCAGAUCCUGCUGGAGAAGAGCGUCUCUGUGCAGACCAACUUGGCCUCACCAGAACCUUACCUCCACCCCUCACAGGUGAGGAGUACUUGGUGGGCAGAUGGGGACCCUGGGCCCAUAAGACCCCCAAGUCCCAGCCUAGAGCCUGGGAUCAGCUGCAGGCAGAAUGGGGCUGGGUGCACCUGGCAUCCACAAGGUGUGUGUGGCACUGAGCGUGUUCAGAGCCUGGCCUCUGAACGUCCAGCACACCACUGGCAGGGAGGGCAUCUUCACGGAACACCCCACUCAGGCCACCCACCACCAGGCAUAGGGCUUCCUGGACCUUGGCCACCAGGGAGUUUCAAGCCUUGCCUACGGGACACAGCAGCUGAGGGCAACUGGCAGCCAGCUCUGGGACUAUUGUACUCCUGGGGAGCUGGGCAGGUGGGGCAUCAGCAUUCUUUGGUGGCUCUGGAACUAUCUCCAAGCACGUCUCCCUCAGGCAGGAAGAGCUGCUAGUGAGGUAGUGACUGGGUGGUUGCCAGACAUCACAGCCAGAGCUGGAGCCCAAGCCCAAGCCCAAGCCCAGCCUGCUGUGUCCUCCCCAUACAGUGCCAGAGCACACAUCAGUCAGUGCCCCACAGAGCCCACGAGUACCUCUGUUCAGCAGCAGGUACCUGAGUGUCCACCUGCAGGUCUUCCCUUCUGGAGAUCACCAGGCAAUUCAGAUUUGAUGGCUCUAAUGUCCUCAUUCCCACUUCUAGCUUCCACCUUUCACACUGGUUGACUAGAGACACAGGCCAAGCCUGAGGGUGACCUGGAAUCUGGUUGGUUUGCUUAGUGGGCCCAGGUUCCAAGGAAGUUAAAGUGAAAAUCUUAAGGCCUCCUGGACAUGUAUGGCAGGCCCACCUUUGCCCUGCUGGGGAAGGCCUCUGUGACCUGUGGGUAGCCAGCUUCCCAGGCCCUUCAGGCUAGUGAGCUCAGAGCCACAUCCAGCCAGACUUUCCAUCCACUGCUCAUAAACUGGUAGGAUGACAGGGCAGAUGGGAGAGGCAACCUUGGGAAACAGUGAGCAGACAGAAAGCUACCUCUAAUGGAAUGGGCAGGUCAAGAGCAGAGCAGAGGGAGAGACCUGCAGAGGCCAGGCCCACUGGGGUCCUGCAGAGAUGGGAGCAGGGCUCGAGAGCCACCCCUGCCUGUCCCUGCCCUCUCUCCCUGGGUACCUGACAGUGCAGCUGUCCUGCUGCCACCCCACCUGGGGUUUUGAAGCUCAGCUUCUUGCUAUGUUAGACUGGCCACGCCACACCUGGCUGGCUCACACCUCUUGGGACUGUGAUCCAAGUGGGCCCAGCUGCCCACUCCAUCCCUACCCCCGAUGGCACAGCCCAUUUGUCCUUCCCAGUCUGAGGACUUAGGAGCCUGUGCCCAGUUUGAGAGCAGCCGGCAGAACCGUAGCGCGAUGCCCAGCUCCAGCUGUGUCUUCCCCACCUUCACGCUGCGCAAGCCCUCCUCAGAGACGGACAUCGAGAACUGGGCCUCCAAGCACUUCAACAAGCACACCCAGGGCCUCUUUCGACGGAAGGUGUCCAUCGCCAACAUGCUGGCCUGGAGCAGUGAGUCCAUCAAGAAGCCCAUGAUUGUGACCAACGACCGGCAUGUGAAGAAAGAGGCCUGUGAGAUCUUCAAGCUGAUCCAGAUGUACAUGGGCGACCGGCGGGCCAAGGCAGACCCACUGCAUGUGGCCCUCGAGAUUGCCACUAAAGGCUGGAGCGUGCAGGGCCUCCGGGAUGAGCUCUACAUCCAGCUGUGCAGGCAGACCACCGAGAACUUCCGCCUCGAGAGCCUGGCCCGUGGCUGGGAGCUCAUGGCCAUCUGCCUGGCCUUCUUCCCGCCCACACCCAAGUUCCACUCCUACCUAGAGGGAUACAUCUACCGGCACAUGGACCCUGUCAAUGACACCAAAGGUAAGACCCAGUGUGCAGGACCCUUGGCACCCCUAGGGUCUGCUGCAACUGAGGUAAGGGCUGUGGAGAGGGCUCCCAGCCAUUCUGGGCAACACCCGCCCAGUCCCCUAUCCUCACACCCCACCAGACCUGGCACCACAUAGGAGUGGUACUUCUAAGAAGAUGCAUGUCCCCUAGGAGACCCCACACCCAGCUUUCAGUGGUUUGUGGGCAUCCUCAGGGAACCCUACCUUGGCUCUGAGAAGAGCCCUAGGCAGCCCUGGCAGAUGAGGGCAUAUGGCCUGCCCUUUGAUGCCUGCCCAGUUUGGCUUCUGUCACCCUGCAGUAUAAGGGCAGCUGCACCGUGAGGCUUAAGCUGUGUAUUCUAGGCAGGGAGGGGCAUGGUGGCCACAGUGCAUCUGCCACAACUCAAUCACAGGCUUCCCACACACAAGUCUGUGGAGAUCAGCUGGUCUCCAGGGCACUAUGAGCUGAGCUGCCCUGAGGGCCAGAGGUUCAGGCCAGCACAGGUGUCCACUUGCUGAUGGCUGCCAGGUGUCAAAUAGAAGGCCCCCAGAUGGGAUGCACUAGGUCUGUCGGGCCCAGGCCGUGGUGUUUCAGCUGGGCAGUCCCCAUGUGAUAAACUAGUGGCUGGCCCAAGCCCUGGGAUGGACAGAGUGGGCAUGGGGCAAGGAUACAGGCAGUCCCAGCUGUAGCAGGCUGUGUCCCACAUGAUGCUCGUGAGCAUCUGUAGGACACAGCCGUAGCAUUGACGGCCAGACACGCAUACUUGUGUUCAGGUACACGUACAUGUACAGAUGCAUCCCUGCCAGGGCGGACAUGUUAGCUCUUCUGGGUUGUCCAGCCUCUGCUGAGGUGGAAACUGUGCUCCCUUCUAGGCCUUGCCCCCAGCUCAGGCAUGGGAAAGGCAGCUCUCAGGCUGCCAUGGGGCCCUCAGUGUGCAUGCAAACUUGAGGGAGGGGGUUCUGGAGAAGGUAUGUCAGGCACAGGAACCACCAGCUCCUCAGACACUUGUAAACAGUUUUGGAAAACAUGCUAUUCCUGCCCAUGUGUGCACCUGCAACACACAUUGCAGCAGAUACAGACUGACCUGGGGCCUGGACUGCACUGGGGCCUCAGGGACCCCAUUCCUUGAUCUUCUUGGACCUCUCUAGGCACUGGUAUAGUCCUGGGGCUUCCUAGGUCACCAUCUUGCCUUCUUGAGAAAGGGCCUUGACAUGCACCUUGACAUGGGAGCUGUAGGAAUGUGUCUGCACUGCUCAGGACAGCACUGGGCCCACAGAUCCGAGAGCCUGCUGAGUGAAAACCAAGUGAGUGGGCAGUAGUUGGCAAACAGUCAGAGGCCUGGGUUCCUUGCUCUGCCUGGGCCAGCUGACCAGCAAGUAUGUGGCUGGGCCGUCCCGCCAUCCAGGGCUUCCCAGAAGAGUUUGUGCUUUAGGCCCCAUGGAGGAGCCCCCAGGAUCUCCCACAUACAAAGGUACGCAUACUUUUCUCUUAGAGUCGCACACCCACAGGGCCCUGUGUUGCACGUCAGAGGGAAGCAGGCUCAGCUUUGAGGCUCCUAUGUAAGGCCCACAAGGUCUCAGAGGACCAUGUGGGCUACAGGGGGAUGGGCUCUGUGUGGUUCUGCUAGCAUUCAAACUGCCCUCACAGCCAAAACCCCAUCUCUAGUACUGGGGACCCCAACCUAGAUUUGCCUGUCCAAGGUUGUACUCCACCCUGAGCCCAGAGAAGAGACUUCUACACACAAGGUGGCCGCCCCUUCUUCAAUAGGCCUCAUGUUCACUCCAGACAGCGCACAGUCCCUGGGAGAUGCCAGUUUCCACAUGUAAGAAAUAUUGGUCAAAAAUGUGGUACUGCUGGGGGUGGUAGUGACACCUAUAAUUCCAGCUACUUAGGUGGCUGAGGCAGGAGAAUCACAAGUUCAAAGCCAGACUCAAUAACUUACUGAGACCCUGUCUCAAAAUAAAAUAAAAAAGGUUGGAAUUGUAGCUCAGUGUAGUAGUGUGUCCCUGGGUUCUAUCGUAGUACUGAGAAUAAAAAUAAAGAAAGAACAUGGGUCCUGGCUGCCUUAUCAGCCCAGAAAGAUGUAGACCAUGCUCUGGAAGACCAACCAGUUGACCACAUAGCACCUAGAAGAAUGAGACCACAGCAGAGGGACCCAUGAUGAGGGAAGUGCUCGGCUUGGCUCCUGGACCUGGCACUGGCCCUGGCCCCGGCCCCGGCCCCGAACCCGAACCACUUGCCUUGGCCUCAGGAAACUUGAUCAACUUGUUUAUCAGCAUUCGUGUGACCUCCACUCUGUGAUCACCAUCCCAGGACCAAGGUACUAUGAGGUAACCCCCAUUUAACCUGUGUCAGGCACUAGGAGGUUCUCCUGGUUGUCCUCAGGAGCCCCUCAGUUAGACUAACCCAGAUGGGGAGGGUGCUUGGCCCUGGAUCAGGAAGCUACAGGAGCCAGGUGUGUGGAACACACCUGUGGUCCCAGCAACCUGGGAAGCUGAGGCAGGAGGAAGGACUAGGCAGGUGGCUCAGUGGUGAAACACCCCUGAUUCAAUUUCCAGUACCCCGCCCCCCAUAAAAAAAAAAUAAGAAAAAGAAAUUGCGGGAGAAGUCCUGCAAAUGCCAUGGGAGACUGAAGCCUGGAGGGAUUCUAGUGCUGCCGAAGCUUGUGCUCUCGGUGAGACUUCUGGCAAAGCACAACAGGAAGUUAGCAAAAGGGCGGAGAUGAUGAAGAUGGUAGUAGAAACCAACACAAGGGAACACAGAACAGUGGCUGAUGAAACAAAAAACUGAUUCUUGGGUAAAUCUACAGCCAAACUGACAAGGACAAAAUGAGAGAAGAAAUGAAUCACCAAAACCAAGAGUGAGAGGUCCUGCCACUGCAGGCCCUGCAGGUGCUGAAGGGGUAGCAAUCAGGUAUAGUGAACCUUUUGCUAAGGAAUUCAAAAUGGACAGAUUCCUCAGGUGACCCAGGCUGCCAGAGGUCACUCAAAGAGAAACAGAAAAGUUAUAUGUCCAGUAAGGAGAUUGCAUUUGUACCUAAAAAUCCAGGCCUAAAUGGCUUCACUGGUGAAUUCUACCAAACACUUUAUUGUUUGUGCAGCAAUUCUGUGGAAUGUCUCCCAGAAAAAUGAAGUGGAGGGCUGGGGUUGUGGCUCAGAGGUACAGCACUCACCUAGCAUGUGUGAGGCACUGGGUUCCAUCUUCAGCACCACAUAAAAAAGAUAUUGUGUCCACCUAUAACUAAAACAUAAAUAUUAAAAAAAAAUGAAGUAGAGAGAAUGUUUCCUGAUUCACUCAUGCUAAAAUUAGAGAAGAACAUUAUAAGAAAGAAUCCCUCAUGAACAAGGAAACAAAAAUUUUAGCAAUAUUUUAUCAGGUUGAGUACAACAGUAUAUAAAGGAGAUAAUAUAUCUUGACCAAGUGAAGUUUAUCCUAGGAAUCGAGGAACGAAAGAUAGGUUUAGCCAGGGGUAGUGGCAUACACUGUCAUUUCAGUGACUCAGGAGAAUCUCACAUUCAAGGUCAGUCUCAGCAAUUUAGCAAGGCUCUGUCUCAAAAUAAAAAAUAAAAAGGACUGGGAAUAUACCUCAGUGGUAGAGCACCUCUGGGUUCAAGGUUCAAGCCCCAGUAUGGGGGGAGGGGAGCAAUCAAUGGAAAAUGGAAACCAUUUUAACAAAGUAAAAAAGAGUAUAUCAUCUCAUAAAAUCCAACAUUCCAUUCUUGAUCAAAACUGAACAAACUUAGAAGAUAAUCUCUUCACCCUGAUUAAAGGCAUCUAUUAAAAACCUACAUGGGCCAGGGUGUGUGGCUCAGUGAUGGAGUUCUUGCCUAGCAUGAGAGAGGCCCUGGCUCACUCCUCAGCAACUCAAAACCAAAAAAACAACUACAGUACCCAAAGGGAUUUAAAGAAGGUUUCAGACACACUUGCACAUGUUCACAGCAGCACUGUUCACAGCAGCCAGUAGGUGGAAGUGGUCCAGGGUCCACCCACUGAGGAAUGGUGAGCACAUGUGGCAGAGCCAUGCAGAGGACAUCAUUCACCCGAAGAAGAAUGACACUCGAUAGGUGCUGCAGCAUGAGUGGACUUAAAACACGUCGAAGAUAAGAGCCAGACCCACAGUGGCAAACCUGGUAUGCUACCACUUACCUAUAACUGGAACAGACAAACUGAUACAGAAAGCAAGGUCAGGCAGAGUGAGAGGAGAGAGAGAUUGCUUAAUAGGUAUUGAGAUUUAGCUUUGGAAGAUGAAAGGGUUUUGGAAAUUUGGUGACAGUUGCAUAGCAUUGUGAAUGUAGUUAAUGCCACUGAAUGGUACUUAAAAAAUGGUUCAGUGGCCAAACUUAUGUUUAUAUUUUAUCACAAUUUAAACACACACACACACACACACACACACACCCCUCAUACUUACUAGCCAAAGACUGAAUGCUUUCCCCUAACAAGAGGAGCAGAGCUCGGACCUUCAGUUAUACCCGCUGUGCACAGCAUCACACUGGAAGUUGAAGCUGGAUCUCAAUCAUGAUAAGAGAUAAAAGUCACACACCUUGGAGAGGAGGUAUGCAGUGGUUUUUAUUCACAGACAGUAUGAUCUGCAGAAUACUACUGGAAGAGUAUUCUAUAUACUGAAUUUAUUACAAGAUACAGGACCAAUACAUUAAAAUUUUAUCAAUUUGUAUAUACUAGCAACAAGCUAUAGGAAACUGAUAUUUUAAAAAUACCAUUUACAGUAGCAUUGACAAGUAUGAUAUACUGAGAGAACUCUAACAAAAGAUGUGUAAGACCUCUAUGCUGAAAAGUACAAAACAUUACUGAAAGAAAUAAAUAAAUGGUGAAACAUACCAUGUUUAUGGAUCUGAAACUCAGUGUUGUUAAGACGUCAUUUCCAUCCAAAUUGAUCUAUAGAUUCAACCCUAAUCAAAAUUUAAUUUUUGAUUUUUUUAAUUUUAGAAAGUGACAUGCUGAACUGGGGGCAGUGGUACAUAACUAUCACCCCAGCUGCUUGGGAGGCUGAGGCAGGAGGAUUGAAAGUUUGAGCCCAGCUUGAGCAACUUAGCAAGACCCUGUGGGGAUGUAGCUCAGUGAUAAAGCAACCCUGGAUUCAAUCUCUGGUGCAACAAUAACAACAAAAAGACUGAUUCUAAAGUUCAUGGGAAAUGUAAAGGGCCUAAAAUAGCCAAAGCCCCUUUGAUGAAGAACAGCCAGCCUAUGAGAGCCACACUUGCUGGCUUGGUACAGCUGCAGUGGUCAGGAGAGGGCAGCAUUUGUUCUUAGAGCAGAACAGAGGUCCCCAAAGUACACCCAUGUGAGAACCGGGCAGUUUCCUCAGGUGCAGGACAACUGACUCAGUGAAGAAAGGGCAGGCUCUCCCUAGUGGUGCUGGGAUAUCUGCACAUCUAAAUGCAACCAAGACAGAGUUCAACUAUGCUUUAUACUGUCUGCAAAAACUAACUCAAUGGAUCAUAAACCAAAAUACAAAACCUAAAAGUAAGCUGAGCGUGGUGUCUCACACCCAUGACCCCAACAACUCAGGAGGCUGAGACCUGAGAACUGCAUGUUUAAAGCCAGCUUUAACAAUUUAGUGAGACUCUAACUCAAAAUAAAGUAAAAAGGGCCAGGAAUGUAGCUCAGUGGCAGAGCGCUUGCUUAGCUUGAGUGAGACCCUGGGUUCAAUCCCCAAUACUGCAAAAAACGGUUAAAAUUUUUUAAAUAAAUAAAACCUAAAAUAAAAAAAACUUCUAACAUAGGAGAAAAAUCUGUGUUUUCCUGCAUUAAGCAAAUAUAAUACCAAAAGCACUAUCUAUAAAAGAAAAACAAUGAUAAAAUUGGACUUUCUUAAGAUUAAAUCCACCAGGUGCGAUGGCACAUACCUGUAGUCUCAAUAGCUCAGGAGGUUAAGCCAGGAGGAUCAUAGGUUCAAGGCCAGCCUCAGCAAUUUAGUGAGACCUUGUCUCAAAAUUAAAAAAAAAAAAAUAUAUAUAUAUAUAUAUAUGUGUGUGUGUGUGUGUGUGUGUGUGUGUGUAGCUCAGUGGUAGAGCACCCCUGGGUCCAAUCUUCAGGGGAGGAGGAAUCCUCCAAGACACAAUUGAGACAAUGAGGGGUUGGAAGUAUAGCUCAGUGAUGGACUGUGUGAGGCUCUGGAUGGUGAUCCGAGGCAUUAGUAUGAACUCGGGUUUACCUUAAUAUAGACACAGAUGGAUACAUCUGUGGAUGGAUACAAAGAUGGAUACAAAAAUUCUUACAGGUCUGUAUACACACAGGAUUAGAAGACACACAGAUGUCCUUGCUGUCAGUCGAAGGGACCUAGCAUCCAGACACCCUCACCUAAUACCUAGAUGAUGGUUUCUAAGUACCAGUUUCCAUGAAGAGGAACUGUAGUUCCUUGGGUGACUGAUUUUAGGCUGGUGCAGGGAAUCUACAAGAUGUAGUAUUGCUGGUAAAAAAAAAAAAAAAAAAACAAAGUUGAGCAGAGCAAUAAUGGUGGCUGCCAAAGGGACACAGAAAGCAACUGAAAGAGCGGCAGUGGCAAAGCUGGAACCGGCGAGCAGUAAAAGUGUCACGAGGGUCAUAAUUCAAAGUUGAGAGUAAAUGUCCGGUCCCUGUGAGAGACUUCCCUCCAGAAAGCACGUCGUGAAAGGGCAAGAGUCUCUUCACAGGGCGGACAACCUGACAGAAGUGGCCUUGGCUGCUGACUGGGAUCCCUCGGGACAGCAUGAACUGUUGUGCAGCCCCCCUGGGACCACCCCGGCUCCUCCUCCCCUAGCAGCAGCACCCACGUGGUCACGUGCCUGCUUCUGUUGGUUUCUUGGCUGGUGGGCAGGAUGGGCUGAGCAUCUCCUGCAGCCCAGGAGCCAGGGCAGCCCCAGGCUGGCUGUCAGCAGAAGGCCGAGUGGUUGGGCCACCUCAUUGCUGCCCACUCCCUUCCCUCCACUUCCUGCCUACCUCUGGUAUGGAGAGAGCCAGUCUUCUGAUCCCACAAUGCCACAAGGGCCCUGCACCUCAUGCAUCCCCAGGUGUGCAUAUGCCUGCACAUGGCACCCACCCACAGACACACUUGGUCCCCAGCUAGACGGGGACAGCCCCCAACAGGCCCAGGGGCCUCCUUGCCACCAAGUGCGGGAACCACAUGGGCAUGGGUUCCUGGCUUGAAUCUGUGGUCCUCAUGGUUCUGUUUGCUCCCCAGUGACACAGCACAUAAGAGAGCUCCUGGAAAGGAACACUAAGAAGAAGUCCAAAUUGAGAAAGAAACCCAAGCCUUAUGUUGAAGAGCCGGAUGGUAGGGCUCCUGCAGGCCCGGGCACUGCCUCUGCACAGCUCUGCUCUCCAGCCUCGGCCGCCUGGCCUUCUCUUCUCUAACCGCUUCUGGGCUCGGGGAGGGACACUAACCUCAGGCUUGGACCUCCUCAGCGUUCUGGAGGCCCAGGGUGGCUGACAAGCUCCUGGAGAGGCCAGGCCAGCCCUGCACCUCCCUUGGUGGUGCCCAGAACAAUUCCAAAUUUGUUUGCUGGGUUGUUGGUGGGCAGGGGGCAUGAGGAAUAGCCAGCAAGGCCUGGAGGCUCCCCCAGGUGAGUGAGUGGGCCUGAGCCAGGUAAGGCUCACAGGAAGGAGAACAGGGGCACUCUGUGGCAAUGCUUUCCCAGCCCUGUCCUCCAGCCCAGGAUCCCCUGGGGCCAGAGAGUAGAGCCUGGUGUCCACAAGUCACCAGGGAAUCUCCCCUCUUCCGUGAUGAGCCCUAGCACAGUCCCCCAAGCUCUGGAGUCUCCCUGCCCUCUCCCUGGGCCCUGGCUCAGGACCCAGGCUGCCCAGUCUGUCCAGAAAUAAGAAUAGUUCCUGCUAACAUGGCAGGUCAGCCACUUCAGGGCCUCCAAGACCCACCACCCCCACCACAAGUUGUGCAGAACUGCCUUCACCAAGUGUGGCUCACACUUGUCUGUCUGGAACCCUGCCUCCUGCACUUUGCUUCUCUCCCCUUCUGAGAAGCCCUCUCUGACUGCACACUGCUUCAGGGACACAUGUGGUUGGGAGCUUUCUGCAGGUGAGGCCUAUGUCGAGUGAACCCUAGGGCAAGCAGGAAGCUUCAGGGGCUUGAAGGGGCCCUUGUGGGCAAGGCCAGGAUGGCAUCUGCAGAGCAGGGGACUUGUCCUCACCCUGAGGCCCCCAGCAGGUUUGUUCCAGGACAGCUACAGUUCAGGGUUAGAUUCCAGGCCAUGGGCAUCCAGCUACUCAUCUGGGACAGCAGUGGAAGGAUCUCUGAGCUCCUGCCUGAGCCAGCCACUGGUGGCCUGGGAACUGGACAGAUGCCAGUUGACCAAGAGAAUCUUGUUGCUGCAGGUGGCAGGGCAGGGAGCAGGUGCCACGGGACCAGGGUGCAGAUCUGAUGAGGACACUGCAACCUGAGCUGUGUCAGGUACAGAGAAGGGAGCCAGCCCACCCUGGCCACAGCUGUGGCCUUUGAGAGCUUAUAAUCUGGACCCCUGGUAUAGCAGCACGGACACUGCUUCUGUCUACUCUCUGUGGGCAGCUGUGUCUCCACCUACCAAAUUGGGCUGACCUGCCUCCAGAUAGAUGGAGGUGCUGGCUGAGGUCCAAGUAGGGCUAGUGGAUCAAGCAAGGCCAGAUCAGGGGCCUAGAAGCAGAGCAUCUUACACAAGUGAGGAUCUUCCUAGGCUGGCCGUGGGCACUGCCCACUACAUCCUGGGUGCUUCAGAGAGAGUGGAAGUCCCUCCAGGACCUGGUCCAUGAACCACAGCUGUGGUGCCUGCAGCUCUCUUCUAAGCACUGGUACCACAACCUCAGCUUAGCCCUUCACAGGCACCUGUGAGUUUGUGCUGCCCCCGUCCUCCCUCCAAGAACAGGGCAGGAGCAGCAGUGCACGCCUGUAAUCCCAGCAACUUGGGAGCCUGAGGCAGGAGGAUCCCAAGUUCAAAGCCAGCCUCAGCAACUUAGGAAGGCCUUGAGCAAAUUAGUGAGACCCUAUGUCAAAAAAUUAAGGCUGGGGGUGAGGGGUUGGGGAUGUGGCUCUGUGGUUAAGUGCCCCCUGGGUUUAAUCCCUAACACCAAGAAACUGAGGCUCAGAGAUCAUCAGCUGAGAGGCAGUGGCCCCAGGACACCAUCCUGGUUCAAGCAAUCACAGGCUCUAAGGUCUGGGUGUUUGCUUUAGGGACAGGAAGCAGCCCUGCCACUACCCUCAGACCUCUCCUGCUCAGUGAGCAGGUAUCCUCACUGCUGGGCUGAAGCAGGGCCUGGAAGCUUCUCCACCUGCUGCUUUCUGCAAAGCUUCCAGGCUCUGAACAUUGCGGGGCUAAGGCCUGAGUCCCAUCUGCUUAAGCACUGUCUGUUCAUUCCCUCAAAAUGAGGGGCCCUCGGAAUGGCCUGUGGUAGAAGGAUCCCGGCACUGGAUCAAUACCUGCUGGGGCCUGGAGAAGGUUGUCCAGGUUGUCUGUGAGAAACCUUUGUCUUCUUGAUUUAAAAAGAAUUUUCUUUCACAGACACAAGGAGAGAGCCAUUUUAGGAUAACUAGAAACAAAAUGGUGUUCUCAUGAAUCAAGACAUUUGUGCUAAAAUGUUUUCUGAACUGAGUCUAAGGACCCCUGUGUCCGCAGACAUCCACAGAAACUACUUCCUUUAAAAGAAGGCAAAGUCUGUGAAGGCCUGGGUCUAGAGGCCUCCCUUACACCCUGGGAGGCAACAGGUGUGGGGAGGGGCAGGGUCCCAUGCCCAGAAGCACAUGCUUCAGGCUGCCUGCCUGUCCCCGGCUUCAGGCAUCUUCUCUCCCUGCCUCCCCACCCCUUUCCUGCUUAGGCCAGGAGGGGUAGCACACAUCCUAGGUCCCAAGGGGAAGCCUUACUGUCUCCUUUCCUUUCUCUCACUUGCACUGUCUUGGUCUUUCUGCCUGCCAUCUCCUGACCCUACAGGACUCGCAGCUAGAACCUCUGCUUCAGGGAGGCUGAGUUACAGAAGGCCCUUUCCUGGAGGCCUGGUUCCCAUUCUCAAAGGGUCCAAAGGUGGUCCUGCCACCGCCCUGCCCUCUCAUGGGGUAGAGCAUGCUGACACCUGCUCCACAUUCCCCCUCACACUGUGGCCUAGGACCAGGGCCUUGCUUCCCUUUACCCUCACUCCUACCCCAUCUCCAGGCAGCCUCAGACCCAUGAGGGCCCCUGGCUAAAGACCAGGGCUGCAGGAGAGCUCUACCUGCCCUCCGCACGCACGGCGUGGUGUCUUAUCCAGGCACUCCUUCCCGGGGCCAGGGAGGGUAGGGGAGGUCUGGAGGCCUUGGGGCUCAGAUUUUGCUCUAUCCUGCCUGUGUUUUCAUACAGGGAAGCAGCUUGAUCCCCAGCCUGGCCUUCCUGUCCUGGGUGGGCUGGCAGAGGGGAUCCCCCAGCCUGGCACAGGGACGUGGGGAAAGCCUCUCCACUUGGGGCUCCACUCUAAAGGACAUUACCUAAGAGUGGGGGCUGCUGUACUAGUCAAGGGUGGGCGGGAGCAUAGCCAAGCCAUCUAUCCCCCAGGGCCCCCACAGGUCGCUGCUCUCUCUUAGUCCCUGCACAUCCACCCCAGGCUGACCAGCACCCAUUCUUUUCCAGGGGUGGCGAUAAGCACCUACGCCAAGUAUUGCUACCACAAGCUCCAGAAGGCGGCCCUGACAGGGGCCAAGAAGGUACAAGCACGCUGGGAGGAGUAUCCCAGCCAAAGUGUGGUGGGGAGGUGUGAGGCUCAGGGGAGCACUGAGUGGCAGAGAGGGUGCUGCCAGGGUGCACCUAGGCAGCUUGCUGAAAAGGCUUCAGGGCCCUCCUCCUGUACCAUGCCCCCUUUCCCCUCAGGGGGCUCCUCUCCAUGCCUGGACCCCCAAUUCAGAAGUGGUGCAGGCAAACUGGUGUGUCCUGCACAGGGCCGCAUUAAGGGGCCUUUUCGCAUGAGUGGGCCAGCUGCCUGGCUGUGCCCAGCCUGCCCUCGUGCAUGGGAGGGACCGCAAGGGAACAGCAUCCUGGGUGCACCAACCCAAGAAACCAGCUGGUGUGAUGAGAUACAGGAGUCAGGUACAGCCAUGGCAGGCCACGAGACCACCCUCUGGAGGGGUCCCUCCCUCAGCCUGGCAGGCUCAGGCUGCAGUGUGGGCCUGGAAGAGACCCUGCCUUUGCAUCCUCUGGGAGCCUAAGCUCCUCCCUGCAAAGCCUCUCUGACGCCAAAGAACAUUGAGGCCUCAGUUACAGCACACAGCUGGACUUUGUUUUCUGGCUCUGUCCCUCCUCCCACCCUUGUCCAGGAUGUCUCUUGAGCCCCCUGUGCCUGUCCCAGACCCUGGCCCCUUCCCCACUUCCUAUUCCUCAUAUGUGUUUCUCCAGCCAUUCUGGCCUAUCUCACCAGAGGACUCCCCCUGCCAGUUGGGCUUCCAGAACCAUCACAGAUCAACAGACCUGGCCCCCCACUGUGGUCCACCCUGAUAGCUCAAACUGGCCCAUCCACCUUCCUGCAUGGCCAGGGGGCCCACUGAAGUUUUGGGUGCUGUAGGUGGCCCAGCAAGAGGCCCCCUUGGUGAAUUGAUGGCUAGGGUUCUGAGACUGUCCCUGGCUUUGGUUAGGGAAGAGAAGAUCCUUGGGGCGGGGGAGGGGGGUUAGCAGGAGAAAGGCUGGGCCAGACCAGGACAGAAGAGCCUGGCUGUCUUCACAGGGGCUAAAGAAGCCCAACGUGGAGGAGAUCCGGCACGCCAAGAAUGCUGUGUUCAGCCCAUCCAUGUUUGGCAGUGCACUGCAGGAGGUCAUGAGCAUGCAGAAGGAACGUUACCCAGACCGGCAGCUGCCCUGGGUACAGACGAGGCUCUCCGAGGAGGUGCUGGCACUCAACGGUGACCAGACGGAGGGCAUCUUCAGGUGCCUUGUCAACCCUGGUCCCUGGAUGUGGGAGACACAGGCUUGUGUCCACAGUGCUUCUCUGGAGGCCCAUGAGGCCUGCAUCCAUGCCCCUGCCUCAGAGUAGAUGGAAGGGUGGGCCACCUUGCGGAAGCUGAUCCCAAGGGACGUGUGGCCAAGAGAGGAAGGUCAGGGCCCAUCCUUAGGAGGCAGGUCUGCUGGUUCAUCCUCAGUCUGGCAGCACAAUGACCCGCAGAGAUUUUUGCCUCUGCAGAAAUGGCCACCAGGGGUCCAGAGGGUGCUUGGCCUAAGCUGUGAGCCCCAGAGGGGAGAUCAGUUAGGCAUCAGAGCAUUGCAGCAGCUGGGCUUAUCAUCCCCACCUGUGAACAGGGAUGCAUAGCCCCUGUCCUGACUCACCUCUCAAGAGCAGGCUGCCCAAGCCCCAGAAGGAAAAGUCUCCCCAAUCUGGGACACAGGUGUGCAAGCUUGAGCCUUAACAGCCUGCAGAGGGUCUAGGAAGGGACAGUCUGGGAGACCCCACACCCCCGAGCCAAGCACAAGGGGCAGAACCCAAAAGAGAGCCAUGAGGCUUUGUCACAGCACCCUCCCCUUUGAGAAAAGGCCUUGAGGACUGUUCCAAACUGGCCCUCCAGUCUGAGACCUGCCCUGUGCUCUGCAGGGUGCCUGGAGACAUUGAUGAGGUAAACGCCCUGAAGCUCCAGGUGGAUCAGUGGAAGGUGCCCACAGGCCUGGAGGACCCCCAUGUCCCAGGUAAGUCCCUGGACCACUCAACACCAGAGCAUGCACUGCCUAGAGGGUCGAUGGCCAUUCACUCCUCCUGUCACCCCCAGCUUCUUUCCCUGCUGUAUCUCAUGACCUUCCUUCCGCAGCUCUGGGGCCGGCCCAUCACUAGUCGGAUAUAUCCCGCACUGGGGGCGGGGGGGGGGGGGGGGGGGGGGGAGGCUGGACUGUGCCGCUCCUCCAUCCACAGAUACUGAGUCAGAUUGGCAGGACCCUAGGUUUUAUUCAAAGCCAGCUUUGAAGGAAGAUCUAAGAAACUUUUGUUUCAAAUUUCCAUCUUGGGAAAAUUGAACGGCCAGGAUACCUUUUAUAAGGGGAUAGAUACAGGGAGAUUGAUUUAGCCUGUGAUGCAGCAGCGCCAGUGGCCGCAGACCUGGGCGGGGAACCUUUUCCAGAAAGCCCUUUCCCUACGCUCCCUGAUGCGGUCCGAGCGGGCUGCCAGGCCCAUGCGUUCCCAGAGCAGGCCCACCUGAACCGCCCUCGCCCACAGCGUCGCUGCUGAAGCUGUGGUACCGGGAACUGGAGGAGCCCCUGAUCCCGCACGAGUUCUACGAGCAGUGCAUCGCUCACUAUGAGAGUCCCGAGGCCGCCGUGGCCGUGGUGCACGCGCUGCCUCGCAUCAAUCGCAUGGUGCUGUGCUACCUCAUCCGCUUCCUUCAGGUACCCGCGCCUUGCCCCGCCCGCGUCCCCGCGUCCCCGCGCCCCCUGCCUGCUCCCCGGCCCUGUGCUCCACCCACCGCGCCCCGCGCCCCCGGCCUCUGGUCCGCCCGCCACGCCCUCCGCUCCUCCCCUCCGCAGGUGUUCGUGCAGCCUGCCAACGUGGCCAUCACCAAGAUGGACGUCAGCAACCUGGCCAUGGUGAUGGCGCCCAACUGCCUGCGCUGCCAGUCGGAUGACCCGCGCGUCAUCUUCGAGAACACACGCAAGGAGAUGUCCUUCCUGCGCGUACUCAUCCAGCACCUGGACACCAGCUUUAUGGAGGGCGUGCUAUAGCACGCGGGCACCACGGACGGCGGGCUGCGCGGCGCACGCGGGAGCGGGGGCCCCGCCGGGGCAGCAUGCCAGGCCCCGCCGGCCCCGAGAAGUGCCUUCUGUUCCCCGGAGCCGAGCGACACUGCCCUCCCGGCUGGCCGCGGCCCACGCCGCGCGGCCUCUCCGCUCCAGAGCCCCGGCUGCCCGCCGCCAGGCCGCGGUUCUCCUGCGCGGGGAGGGCCCCGAACCAAAGUCCUCGCGGCGGGCAGGGCCGGGCAGGCACUCUUGGGGCGGGGGGAGAGUAUUUUUUUCGUGGUGUACCUACGAGUCCAGAUUCCAUCCCGCACCCCGCCCUCUUGUGCAUAGAGAUAUAAAUAGAGCGACAGACGUCGGGACUAAAUUUGCUAAGGACAUAGUUCUAACCAGAUGCUAUUUAUCUCUGAGCCGUCCUCACCGCCCUCGUGCAGAGCACUCGCACCCUCCUUCCUUACCCGCAGCUCCCGACCCAACCCCGCGCCGCGCGGCGGCUGGGCCGGACUCGCCUGCGUUCCCGUUAUGGAAUCAGUUCCAACUGUUGUCAAACUUAAUUUCUCCCGGUUUUUAUAUAUAUAUUUUUUAGAGUUGAGUUUUUAUUUAUUAUUAAAACAAAACAGCCAGCCCUGCCGAGCCGGCCCCUGAGCGGGCCACAGACGUGCUCUGACACGUGGACCGAGGGACCGCUUUUCGUGUGAAUAAAGUUCGUGUGGACACUCGCGCGCCGCUUCGGG